CAAGAUGGCGGUAUGUCAUUUGUCAAUAGAACUUUAUUUAUUAAAUAUAAAAAGUAAUUUAAUCCAUAUUCGCCAAGGUGAGACAAAAAGGAAUAUGGGAUCCCAUCUUCCCCAGGAGCACUGUCUUUAACGUAAUUUAAUACACCUUUUAAUUCUAAUAACGUAAAAGGUAGAUUUAGUGAGGAAGGGACAACAUCAGAGUUAUUUUGUGUAGAAGUGUGGAUGAGAUCUGGAGCAGAAGGAGGAGCCAAGCGAUCAAGGAAUUGAUCGGCUAAUUCUAUAGGAAGCAACGACGGGUUAGAAGGAUUGAUAGCUGACCUGAAUCUUUUGAUAUUUCGCCAAAUGACAGAAGAAUUUAUUCCAGGGAAAUGAAAUGAUUAUGGGAUAAUGAUCACUAUUGUAAGAUGAACACAAAGUAGACCAAGAGAGAGAAGAUGCUAAAUUGGGAGUACAGAUGGACAGGUCAAUGGCACUAAUUACUUCACCAGGCUUUGUAAGGCGAGUAGGAGAACCCAUAUUUAAAAUGCACAGGUUAUACAUGUCUAAGAUAUCCAAUAAUUCAUACCCGUACCUAUUAGAUACUGAACUACCCCACGAUGUAUGAUGAGAGUUGAAAUCACCCAAAAUCAUGAAAGGCUGAGGGAGAACUGAAAUUAAGUUUUUAAUUUCAUUGAAUAUUUGCAAGGAGGGGUGAGGGCCAUAUAUAGAGACAAAACAGAUACCAUCAACAAUAGCUGUAAUGUUAGAAAAGCUGUUACUAUGUGAAGGAAGAGGGAAGGAAGAAAAGAUGCUUGAGUUUCUGAUGAGCAGGCAUACACCACCAUACCCAUCAGCCCUGUCUUCUCUUAAGCAAGAAUAACCAGGGAUUUUGAAUACCUGAUCUGGCUUUAGCCAGGUUUCAGAUAAAGAAAAAAUAAAAGGAUUAAAA